rnacentral:lncRNA from 1 species
CAAAGGUCACACUUUUGUGUACACUAGAAUGUGUGUGGCACUCUUGAUGGUGACUCGUAACGUUCGGAAUAUAAUGUCCGUAUUCGUCUCACAUUCACAGGAGAGAAAAAGAAAAACAUAAACUUAAAGAAGAUAAAAUGGGGGGAAAGAAUCGAUCCCAGUUGGUAAACGUCUACCAUGUCAACCAACUUUUGAAUACGACCUGGAUACCGGAUUUUCUGCCUUUUACAUUUUUGUUUUUCUCUAUUACUUGUUAAAUAAGAACCAAGUUAUCAAAAGAAGUCUAAGAAAAAAGCGACAUCGAAGAAGAUAAGCUUUUUUUUUAUAGCUCGUUAAAAGCCAAUUUGGGAAUGGAAGAUUAAACGCAAUUCAUCUAUAGAAUUCGAUCCGGUUCGGAUCGUUACGUUCCACCUCCUGUUCAACGACAACAAACAAGUUGCAUAGAAACUGUGCAAACCACUAGAGAAGAAGAAAAAAAAAACGGACCAAAUGGAGGGGCCCCGAUCAUUUGAAAUGCGACCGACUAAACUUUCCACUACGCAUCGAGUCCAAAAACAAGAUGGCUUCGUAAGGAGCCAGACGACAUUCUUGUGUCUUGAAAAUCGAACAAGGUGGCAAAGAGAGAGCACACACACACACACACAAGGACGGUGGGAUUUUGUAGUUGCAGGAGGACCACACCGACCUCGGAAAGGACGUUUCCAAAAAUAGAUUCGAAAAACGGUGAGCUACUCCAACCUGCUUUAGCUCUCGCUACGAUAACUCCUGUCCAUCCAUUUCAACGUCAACAAACUAUCAAAUGUCAGUGACUGGCUGUUUUUCAUCUGGCGCGCGAGAGCAGAGAAAAAUGGCGUGGCUAGCGGUCAUGCACCUUUGACUAGGACAUCAAAAGCCAUCGAGCAUAGAAAUGAAUCGUUUACCGCGUAGCCCAGGUACACGUGCUUCUCCCCAAAAAUCUGGACAGCCUUAAUUCUUACCACGUAAAUGCAUAAAGCCUCUUAGUCGGGGUUUUUCCAGCUGGCUUUAUUUCCUUACGGAUCUCUUUUCUCGUUAGCAGUGUGUGAUUGGGUUGGUUGCUUAACCGCGACGUAGGAUCCCUUUCUGGCUUGGAUAUUCGUUGGCUGCUGCGUAUUAGGUUUCCCACCGAAACCGACAGAAUUUUAAUAUGUGACGACCGAGGGCUGUAGUGAAGAAAAUGGCGAACUUCUACGACAAGGAAAAAUGAAUAGAAAAAAAGGAGGAGGAAUUAAAACGGCGUUCCCCUUCCUUGAUAUGAAAACACGGCCUAUGGUGUGAAAACCAUCAAGAAUGUGACGCUUACGUGUAAAGGAGGCGGAAUUUCCUCAACUGUAAAUCCAGGAAAGGUGAAAAGCUGUUGGGCACGAAAAUGGAGGUGUAUUGUACAUGAAAAUCUCUCCCUUCUUUUUGUGUCCCGGGAACUCUCACGCCGUCGACAUCAACGCGACAGGGACGACAAAAGAAAGGAGGAAAAAAAAAAAGCUGAGCAAAUAAAGCUGCUGCUGAUGUUGCAUGUACUCCAGACUCAUAACAAACAAACAGAGACAUACUUAAACCGUGUGACAGAAAGACCAACAACUGACGAAAGUAAAAAAGGGGGAAAGACCAAAGAGAAGGGGAUUGUUCUAUCCACCCUGACGUCCAAAAUGUCUGCCUACGAUCGCUGUUGCCUCACAAAUUCUAUUGAUCCCUAAUACCUUUCAUUCUUACUUAGAAUUCCAUAUUAAAAUUUAAAAUGAAAUGUGUGAAUUAUUUGGAAAAUAUUUCAUGUAAUGGUUUAUUUAGUAUUUAAUAAAAAGAAAUUCUAAAAAAAUUGGCAACACAAACUUGCAACGUAGCAGUUUGCUUCCCUUGCCCCCUGUACGAAAAAGAAGAGAUCUUUUAUGGAAAGGUCGUCUGUUGAAUUCUCAGAUGUCUCAAUUUUUUCAGGUGAUGAGUCACGCUCCAAAAGUCGAAGAAAUCCUUUUUUUUUCAAAGAUGGCGAGACACGAUUGUGUUGGCCAGUAGACAGUUUUUAUCGAUAAACAUCCACUUCAUCUGCGUAUUUUGUUUCUUCCGUGCCACACACAGAAAGAACUCGACAGCCAACAAAAAAGGUGAUGAAGGAGAAUCGAUUACGAGAAACACGUGGUUUCGUACAUUUUGGACCAUGUGAGAGUUUCGUUAAUCUUUGCUGACGUCAGCACUGAGAAAGGCAUGCAGGGAGAAAUGGCAUCCGUAUGAUUGUGAUGGAUAUUCAUGGACGUGGCCACGUCUUCCUCGUCGUGGACUGGCAAAAUGCGGACAGAACCCUCAUCAAGUAGUUUGCCUCUGUAAUAUGGAAAAGACUUCGGCGGAAACAACCACGUGCGUGUUGUGAUUAAAUUAGAGUGCCAGCACAAUGCUGGAGGAUGUUUUCUGGAAGGGAAGGGAAGGUUGUUGUUGUUGUUUUUUGUUUUUGUUUCUGUAUCUGUAUCUGUGUCCUUCCAAUUAAAAUGAAAGCCACACACAUAGAGACAGGUGGUGUGUGUGUGUGGCGGUGCUUUCGGUUAGGCGGUUGCUAUGCGUCUUCGUCCAUUUCUUUUUGUCCGAGACUUUCAAAGCAGAGUGGCCGGUUCCGGUCGUAGAACUAAUUCGACAGGUUUGGUUAUUCAAAAUUUUUGAGAAAUUUAUUUGAAAACAAAAUACAAAGUAUGUCAUUUGUCAGGGCUAAUGAACCCCAUCUGUUAGAUCGUUGUGACAUCAAACAGUUUUUACCUUUUCUUAUCUACAUUUUGUCGCAUCCUCUUGCGAGUUUCAUUCGCCCCUCAAUUGCGAAUAAUAAAACGCAGUUUUGCAGAA